AGUGAACGCUGGCGGUAGGCCUAACACAUGCAAGUCGAACGGCAGCACAGUAAGAGCUUGCUCUUACGGGUGGCGAGUGGCGGACGGGUGAGGAAUACAUCGGAAUCUACUUUUUCGUGGGGGAUAACGUAGGGAAACUUACGCUAAUACCGCAUACGACCUACGGGUGAAAGCAGGGGAUCUUCGGACCUUGCGCGAUUGAAUGAGCCGAUGUCGGAUUAGCUAGUUGGCGGGGUAAAGGCCCACCAAGGCGACGAUCCGUAGCUGGUCUGAGAGGAUGAUCAGCCACACUGGAACUGAGACACGGUCCAGACUCCUACGGGAGGCAGCAGUGGGGAAUAUUGGACAAUGGGCGCAAUCCUGAUCCAGCCAUACCGCGUGGGUGAAGAAGGCCUUCGGGUUGUAAAGCCCUUUUGUUGGGAAAGAAAAGCAGCAGGUUAAUACCCCGUUGUUCUGACGGUACCCAAAGAAUAAGCACCGGCUAACUUCGUG
rnacentral:rRNA from 1 species